GGAGAAGGAGGGAGUAUAACGAAACUAAACUAUAAAUGACAAUUUUUGCCGAGAGCGAGCGUCGUACGGUAGAUGACAAACUCCUUCCUGCAGCGUUCACCUGUCCAGGUAAAGGAGGGAAGCGAGGCUGAAGCCAAGCGGUCACGCAUCCCAGCGCAGUUCGUCAUCCUCCCACAGGAAAUCGGCUUCCAUCAGGAAACACAGUUCGCGAACAGCUGUUGGAAACUCGUUUAUCAUAUUCUUGAGCACGGAAGUCAUCUAAGUUUUCAUGACACGAACAACCAUGUGAGAAAACUCAAGAUGUCGGAAGUUAUCUCCCUCUGAGGGUGAAAUGUCCUCUCUUUACUCACCUGAUGACAACAUGGCUUGCAAGCAGAGAAUGGUACAGGGUGAGCACGCUGGGCAAUUUGAUUGGAGCAGACUCGAGAGGGUGUGGUGAGAGUAGACAAGUGUCAACAGACCUCACAGCGAAGUCGUGUGACCUACCAGCGAGCGAGUUGGCGUCAGGCAGGAGAUGAAGGCUCAGAAGAGUAGGGGUGGGAAGAGGCUGGAGAUCGAAGCAGUCAUUGGACAAAAUAUUUCGCAUCUUCCCCUUUCCCCACCCCAACCCACAGGAGGAGACAACUACUUAAAGCCUGCGUGUGCCGCUGUUUGUCAGACUUCUUGUCGGCACGCACCACUCUCUUCUGCACGUGACUCAAGGCUUGAUUUUCACGCGGACGCAGCCCUUGGAACUGACCGCAGCACAACGUCCCGCGGACAACUCUGUCAGGGAGUGACAUCAAGGAUUAACUCCCCUUGUCUGACGUUCUAGUUUUUAUUGUGUGCGCUGAUCGCCGUUCUGGAUUCGCAAUAUCGUCGUCAUUUGCCUCAGACUAACAUCACACAAGAGGUUUCUUCCGUUUUGGGAAUUUCGGCUCCGUCACAACGAUGAAGGGGACAGCACUGUGUGGACUGAUCAGCGCUCUUCUGGUGGCCGUGCUGUGCAUCACGGAGGAGGACCGGAGGUACUGCACCAAGCACCUGCGUCAGAGCGAGACGCUGGAGAAGGACUGCGAGACGGGGGCCUCCAUCGCCCUCGACCCGUCAGGCACUCGCUCCUUCGCCGGUGUAUCCGUUCUUGUGCUGCCUCGGGUACUUCGAUCCUUUCAUCAGGCUGACCAGAACUGACCGCAACUAUACCCUUAUUGUGGGCAUGACCUUGCUGAACUACACCUACUACAUCCCCUACACUUCGUCCAUCGACGGGCCAACAGAAGUGGUCAACCUGGCCAAGUACUUAGGCACGUGCUACGAUAAGGCCAUUGCGAGCCAGCCGUGGCUGAAGUUUACGUACAAUGACUACAUCAGAUGGAAGUCAACCACUCAGUGUCAAGCAUCUAGACGUCGACGCUGACAACCAGUAUUUUGAAGAUAAUCAGUGCUGUUGAGAUUGUUUUGUGGGUACAGUCGCAGAGGAACUUGCAUAAGAUGGGACACGUUGUGCCCAGUAGAUGUAGCACACGACCCUCUCUGUCACACAUACACAAAUAUCCACAUAUUGGGUCCUUGACACGUGAUCCACUAACUUUCACUGCCACUCUAAGCUAACGAACUCUUUGCCUUUAUUUGUACCUAUUAAAACUCGCCUUAUUGUUGCUGUAGUAGUAGAUGGUGGUGUCGAUCAACACUGGAAGUGACCUUAGGAGAGUGAUGUAGGCACGUUUCUUGGUCCUUCACACACGCGCACCAUCAACAGGCAAGUACACUCCUGACGUCACGACCCCGGACAGGUGUCCUGACAAACACGACGAAUAACGGGCCCACAUACAAACUUACCUGAGUCCAUCUCAGCCUUGCGACCUCAGCAGCUGCUUCCCUAUGUAUGAACAGUUGAUGGCGACAGGUUUCACAUCCCAGCUGCCCGAGGUGGUGUCGUGAGCCUCUGGCGACAGGCGCUUCUGAUGAUGCAUGGCGACUGGCAUGCACCCACUGACUACAGCAACGUGCAUGCCGCCAACAAACAGCGAUGUAACCCACGGCUAUCUGUACUCAAGUAAAUGUUUGUCAAGUACAUUACCAACAGCCCUUGAUGAUGAUUAAAGGUUGUGGUAUACUUCCAUCCAAAGAUGUCUUCGCUAAAAAAAUUAAUGCAGUGAAUAAGAAUGGUUUAGCUAAUCUCUUCACCGACAAAAUUUAUUGUUCGAUUAAAACAACUACAUCAUCGGGAACAACAUUUAUCCUCGUGGAUAAAAAAAAAAGAUGAUAGCGCAGGGUUUUCACUGCUACGAAUGAAAUUUCGACCAAAGAAUUGUAGACUUGCAUAUUGAAUACGUAUAAAGAAAUGUGAAACUAAGGACAGAGGUGAGAGCCAUGUGGCUGUUGUUGGUGUCGUUAAGUAGUUAUCCACUAAGCUAAAUAAAACUAGGCUUACUUGACAGACAACCAAAAUUCUGACAAGGGAAAAAUGAUGGUAAAUUUCUGCUUCCAAUCUGAGAACGAAGGUGUGGAGAAACUUCCCAUCUGAGAAGUUGUCUUGCGCCAAAGCGCACGAUAAUCAAAUAGAAGCGAACUGCUGUUAUUUGUAAAAAUAUGACUAACUUUUUAUACUCUUUUUCCUUAGAAUUUCACUGCAGCUAUAACUCAUUUGAUAUUUGAAAUAAUCGCUUUCACAUAUAAUGACUUUUGUAUGUAUUCGUGUCUUGGCAUGUACAACGGCGAGACUCCUAUUUUGCAUCUUACCAACAAUUUUGUUCUCUACCUGGCCUUAACCCACAAGCCUAUAAGGCUUAUUUUUAUUAUUUCUAAAGGGUAAAUAAGUAGUCAACUUUGUUGAUUUUUAAGAUGUAUUCGUUUUAUUUCGAAUUUCAAAGCUUUACUGUUUUAAUGUUUUAUUUAAUGUUUAUAUAUACAUAACUUUUUGAUACGGUUUCUUGCUGUAAUUACAAGCCACCAAAACCACCCACUUAAAUCGCUGGUAAAUUAUUUUUCCUGUUUCUAUUCUUAUUAUCGUCAUCCUGUGUCCAUCAAUCAACCGGUACUGUAAGACGACAGAAGGUUUUAUAAUUGUGUCCUAUGUUGACCUAUGAUAAGUUUUAACUCUCGCUGUUCUUGCCCUUACUGUUGAUUGCUUGGUAUUUCAUGUUUCAAAUGUUAAUCCAGAGUGACAUUUUAUUAAACAUUGUUUCAACGUAUU
rnacentral:lncRNA from 1 species